rnacentral:rRNA from 1 species
AGUGAACGCUGGCGGUAGGCCUAACACAUGCAAGUCGAACGGCAGCACAGUAAGAGCUUGCUCUUACGGGUGGCGAGUGGCGGACGGGUGAGGAAUACAUCGGAAUCUACUUUUUCGUGGGGGAUAACGUAGGGAAACUUACGCUAAUACCGCAUACGACCUACGGGUGAAAGCAGGGGAUCUUCGGACCUUGCGCGAUUGAAUGAGCCGAUGUCGGAUUAGCUAGUUGGCGGGGUAAAGGCCCACCAAGGCGACGAUCCGUAGCUGGUCUGAGAGGAUGAUCAGCCACACUGGAACUGAGACACGGUCCAGACGCCUACGGGAGGCAGAAGUGGGGAAUAUUGGACAAUGGGCGCAAGCCUGAUCCAGCCAUACCGCGUGGGUGAAGAAGGCCUUCGGGUUGUAAAGCCCUUUUGUUGGGAAAGAAAAGCAGCAGGUUAAUACCCCGCUGUUCUGACGGUACACAAAGAAUAAGCACCGGCUAACUUCGUG